UCUGGGAGCGUGAGGCUAGGGACGCCUGGGUAGGGCUGAGGGUGAGCCCUGGGUGUGGGGUAGCUCCACCCUGCGGGUGCCUAGAGGCCCCACACCUCCAGCCUCCCUGUGAAUUCAGAGUUCUCUGCCCUGAGGCUGCCCAGGGGAGCCUGGCUGGGGCGAGGUGGGCCAGACAUGGACCUGGGCGAGUCUCACCACAGAGGGGCGCCGCUGAGCAGCCAGGCCUCCCGAGGAGCGGACACUCUUCCGGGAGGCCCUGGGAUCCGCCACCCACAAGCACACCUGGAGGCAGCAUCCUUGCAGGACUCCAGCCGGCCCAGCGCGCCACCGCCCCUCUGUCCCCAGCCACCCACGAGAGAAUCUGGGUCGCCAGGGCCUUGUCCUUCAUCAAGGCAAAGCCGGCUCAGCCUCAGAGCCGCAGGCGACAGCGCCUGUCCGCAUGAGUGAGCACAUGGGGAUCUGAGUCCGUGGGUGUCACAGAGAGGAGGUCGGGAGCUGCCUGCUCACAGGCACUUUGGAACCCCGAAAAAAAAGGCUGUGCGGAGAGUGUUCUUCCAGUCAGGAGGUUUGGGAAUGCGGGAGAAGGGACUGCCUGGAAUCCCGACCUCAGAACUGAGCCUCCAAGUGGGCAGCAGUGGCUCCCUCACGCGCUUAAGGGCCAGGCAGGUGCAUCCACCCUGCCUUGCAUGGCCGAGGUGUGAGCCGGUGGGCAGAGGUGUGGCCCUGGGUCCAGCUGACAAGGCUCCUGGGAUUGACAGGGGUUGGGGUUGGGGAGUUCUGCCUUCCUGCGUGGCCCGGUGCUGGGAGGGGUGAGGGGUGCGGGCAAGGGUCCUAUCACUGGGCCCUGACCCCUCAGGCCACCCAGACCCUAUCCAUGUGGGCACUCAGGGGUCAGGUGUUCUUAGAGGGAACUAAGCUGGGCAGGGUCACCGUUCCCUUCUGCAGAAGAGGAAGCUGAGGCCCACGAGGUAAACAGUGGGCUGGGAGUGGGCCUGGUAGACCCCAUCCCCAGCUCAUGGAGACCACCUAUGGAGGGAGCACCACAAAUGCCCCUUAACAGCUAGAUCCCCCAGUUUUCAUGCAGUGGGGUCUACAUGGACUCUGGGGUCUCACUGGGAGAGAGCAGGAGGUGGCUUGAGGCUGGGCGUGGGUGGCCACAGGGGCAUGGACUGGCUGACCCGUGCGUUGACCGCACUCUCUGUCCCCCAGGUGUCAUGAGGACUGGACAUGGGCCUAUCAGGGCCAUGGGCAUGAUGUCAGCCAAGGAACUCAUGGCCUGCCUCUGCCAAGAGACCAGCACCUCAUCCUGAGCACUCCCAGCCUCACAUCACCUUCCCCCUGGCUACAUUCAGCUGCCAUGCCCCUACCUCCUUGUAUGGUCAGCACCCUCCAGGACUUCAUCUUGGGGCACCCAAAGGCUGAGGACAUUGCUGGCCAGCAGGAAAUUCAUGGUGCAUCCAGGAAGACUUCCAAGAGGUGGUGGAUCAGGAGGCGCCACACCCAGACAGCUGCGUGUAAUUGUGCAGCUGCGGGCUGCUGCGGGUGCUGGCUGGCAGUGCAUUCUGGGCACACUGGACUGUGUCACCACAUGCAGGCUGUGACUGGAGGAGGAACUGCUGGCCUCCAAGGCAUAUGUACCUGGAAACCAGCGGGGGGCUGCUGCAGGAGGAGGGCUGCAGGAUGCUCCAGCUCAGACCCGACUCAGGGUUUUAGAGGGCACAGGGCAUAAGGCUGUGGACAUAGACAGCCCUACUGCGUAGGAAGAGCAUAAGCUGGCCAGAGGGCAUGCAUGGGGGCUUCGGUUGCAUUCUGGUCUCCUUUGAGAAGUGAAAACGGAAGGUCUAUGCCCGGACAGUGCCACAGAGGAUGAAGACACUGUGGAACUCACUGAAUAAUUUACUUCUUUCUGAUCCCCAGGACUCUACAGAGUUUGCAAACCUUGUGUAAACCUCAAGUACAGUAUUAAAAUUAUGUUUCUAGACUUUUUCAUGUUUUAUUUUGCAUAUCUAACUCUUUAGUGAUUUUUUAUUUGAGUCUCUUUACUUCAACUAGUAUAGUGAUCAUUAUUUUAAAUUCUCAGUAUUAAAUGAGAUUGGGUACAAUUAUUAGAUUAAUUGAUUUUUAAAAAGAAAAACCAGUGGGUUUUUUUUUUAAAAAAAAACAAACCUACCUAUUUUCAUCCUAUUACUUUACUGAGCAGCCCUUAAAGACAGUUACUUUUGCCUGAUAUUUUCAAAAAUGGAAAUAACAACAGUCAUCCUCAAAUGGAGUAUGGGAGUUCUAUAUGGCUUCUUAAAGCAUACCCAAAACGUCGGGUUAAUUAAGCAUCACAUUCAAUCUUGUUAUAUUUGUUAAUAAUAGUGUUUAAAGAGAAGAAAAUCCAAAAUGAAAAGUACAGAUUGUGAGAAGUCUGACUCCUUUAUUUGAGAGAGGAAUGGACUGUGGUCUGGAGAGGAGUGACAUAGCUUCUAAGAGUCAGAUCCAAAGCGAACACAAGUAGCCCAUUCCCAGAGUGUGUGGCCCACUUCUUUCUGCCUCUGCCUGUGCUGCGUGCACACCAUCUUCCUGCGCAGACGCUACAGUACUGGGUAUCUGAGCUGGAGAAUUAUGCAGAGGAGGCAUCUAGCUCAUUUCAAAUGAUCUUUUAACAAUUUCUGGAAUAGCUAAGGAGGCCUUAGGGACUUAUCAUGUAUUUUGUAAGGAAUCUAUCAUGUAUUUUGUAAAGAUGUACAAGAAAAAAUUUAUGAAAUUCUGUUUAGCCUAAAAUCCAUUUAAUGUUAAAAUUUUAAUUAUACACUGUACAAAUUUCAGGUUUGGUACAGAGAAUGUUGAAAUUUCUCAUCUUCCUCAAGAUUUUGAAAUUGCAAAAUAUAACACCUUGGAGAAAGUGGGAAUGGAAGGAGGCCAGGAAGCUGUGAUGGUGGAGCUGCAGUGUUUAUGGGACUCCAGGGACUGUCCUUUCCUGAUAUCCUCACACUUCCUCCUGGGCCUUGGCAUGCAGGUAAUGCUGUUUAUAUUGAUUCCUAUAUGUUUGUUGACCUCUGUUCAUAACUCAUUUCAAUGAACCAGCCCGCCUCCCAACCUUUUUCUUCUUACCUGGUGUCUUAGCUCAGGCUGCUGUUAAUAAAUGCAACAGGCUGGGGAGCUUAAACAACAAACAUUUUUUUCUCACAGUGC